GGGAAGAGACUUUAAAGAGAGUGGAGCUCUGCAUGCGAGCACCUCUCUCCUUCUGUUAAUUGAGCAGCGGAUCAAGCGGAGGACGUGUUCCGGGGGCAAGGAGGUAGGCGGAACCAACAGGAUGCAACAUCGGACUAGCAGCAGGAGGGAGAGACAAGCACCAGAAUGAUCGGGGACAUUGCAAUCCCAUACAAUGAGAACUGGUGAUGCUGGUAGGACAAGACGUAUGGCACAGAUGUUCUUCAUGAUGAAUUAAAACUAUUUAAAUUUUACAAUGCAAACACCAUAUUUACCCAAAUUGAAGACAGCUCUGAUUUUAAGAUGACUCCCUUGGAAAACAGGAGGUUAAAUACAGGUAUAACCUGUUUUAACCCAAAGGAAAAAGACUCUGAAUUCAAGAUGUCCCUUCAAUUUUUAACAUCAAACUUGAAAAAAUGGUGUUUUAAAAUAAGAAGGUAACAGUCUACCGGGUAGUAGUGAAGUAGCAUCCUCCAACGUUCAGUGUUAUCCAGUCUGAAUGAGAUCCUGUCAGUGCUUCGGGAGGACUGACGUCUG